CGCUGUGGGAUGAUCAAGAACGGUUUAGAUGCGGAAAGGAACUUCAUAAACAGAUAAGGAAAACAAGCUGGAAAUCAGUCCAGACGUCAUGGUCUCUGAUGAUACAGUGAAUUAGCAUAAGCGGUAAGCUGUGGUGGAACUCUGACUGACACUGCAGUGUCACUGAUGGAGAGAUAGACAAACAGACAACUCAAACUUUUUUUGACAUGCAGAGUCACAUUUCAUGUUCUGAUGUCCCCACAUUCUCGGGCUCAGAUCUGAAAAGUUGUGGACAUCUGGAGAAAAUUUCAACUGGCUCUCACCCGGCGAAACCUGCCGGGGUUUCUCUGUCUCUUCUGUAGCUUUUAUCUGACAAACUCAGGAUGGCAUUCAAAACUCCUUGCCAGAGGCCUUCCAGGGGCUCAUUUGAUUUGCUUUUUGAAAGAUUUGUCCCAUAAGUUUGGGUCAGAGUAUAUGUAUGUGUGUGUGUUUGUGUGUGUGCGUGUGCUAGUGUGUGCGGGUGUUUGUGUGUGUAUAAGCUGCACUUCUUAAAAGUAAAAAGGAAAACGCCAUAUUCUACAUUCCCAUUAUUCCCCCGUUCACCCCUACAUUGUGCGGGUACCUUUUGUGAUACAGGAUGCAGCACAAGCCAAUUUCUGAAAAUGUUUUUUAAAAAUAUUUUUAUGUAUUUCAAUUAAAAUUUCUUAAAUGCUACAAUUCAAAUUGCUGGGAUCUGUGUGGUUCUGGGCUUCUCUUCAUCCAUUUAAAUAACAUGGUCAUCUGCAACCUUGGCCUUUUGAUGUGAACAAAUUUGUUGCUGGUCUUGGUUUCAUCAAAAUAGCUCUCCAUACAGAAUGCAAACUGUCCCUGGAAGCAAAUUUCAAUGUUGUGAGGGCAAAUCAGAUCAAAGCCCAAUUAAGCAUUUUUUUAAUGCAUGUCUGCAUUACAGACCAGGAAGUGUAUUUUUUUAUUUUUCUCCCACCACAAUCAAUUUAAUUAUGAGGCAGAUCCCAUUUACCCUUACUUCAAAGAACAGCACUCCAUAGUCUCCAUAUCAAAAGGAUAUGGGGGGAAAGCAGAGGAGAGUGCUGAUUUAACCAUUUUUAACCUAAUAUGAUGCUUAUAAUUCAGCUCACUUUGAACUUACCUUUAGCCUGAGAUGAAUUGACAAAUUUCACGUUAUGGAGUUAAUAUGGAAAUUGCACAAAAUGAUAUGGCAA